UACGGAGGGUGCGAGCGUUACUCGGAUUUACUGGGCGUAAAGGGCGCGUAGGCGGUUUGGUAAGUCUGAUGUGAAAGCCCACGACUCAAUCGUGGAAGUGCAUUGGAUACUGCCAGGCUAGAGUACAGGAGGGGUGAGCGGAAUUCCAGGUGUAGAGGUGAAAUUCGUAGAUAUCUGGAGGAACAACGGCGGCGAAGGCGGCUCACUGGACUGUUACUGACGCUGAGGCGCGAAAGCGUGGGGAGCAAACGGG
rnacentral:rRNA from 1 species